CUGCAGCUCAAGUGGUGACCACUAUUAUUGGGCCUGAAACGUUCGUAGCCGGUUUGGUAAAUGCCUGGGUAAAUCGUGUAGCUUAACUAUACGAAUUCCGGGUAGACUGCCAAACUUGAGACCGGGAGAAGCUAGAGGUACUCCUGGGGUAGAGGUGAAAUUCUGUAAUCCUGGGGGGACCACCAGUGGCGAAGGCGUCUAGCUAGAACGGGUCUGACGGUGAGGAACGAAGCCCUGGGGCGCAAACCGGAUUAGAUACCCGAGUAGUCC
rnacentral:rRNA from 1 species